rnacentral:rRNA from 1 species
GGGGGUGAAAGGCCAAUCAAACCGGGAGAUAGCUGGUUCUCCCCGAAAGCUAUUUAGGUAGCGCCUCGUGAACUCAUCUCCGGGGGUAGAGCACUGUUUCGGCUAGGGGGCCAUCCCGGCUUACCAACCCGAUGCAAACUGCGAAUACCGGAGAAUGUUAUCACGGGAGACACACGGCGGGUGCUAACGUCCGUCGUGAAGAGGGAAACAACCCAGACCGCCAGCUAAGGUCCCAAAGUCAUGGUUAAGUGGGAAACGAUGUGGGAAGGCCCAGACAGCCAGGAUGUUGGCUUAGAAGCAGCCAUCAUUUAAAGAAAGCGUAAUAGCUCACUGGUCGAGUCGGCCUGCGCGGAAGAUGUAACGGGGCUAAACCAUGCACCGAAGCUGCGGCAGCGACACUCUGUGUUGUUGGGUAGGGGAGCGUUCUGUAAGCCU